GCCUUGCAUUUAAUAACCCUCUAGGGCUAAGACAGCUUUGUGUGUAAGUCCACUCGGUGCCAUAUGGCAGUUUCCAAUUCCUUUAGCAACUCAAUUCUAGCUAGACUGCCCGCAAUGAUUCAUUCUUAAAGGAAGACCCCUUGGGGCUCAGUAAUGCCCCCUCCACUUACCUAGCUCCCACCGACCCCGCUCGGCAGGCGGCUCGGGCUCCACAAAGAGCUGUGGGAUUCCCCGCUCCCUCCGGGGCUCCUCUCCCCGCGACGGUCCCCUUCGCCAAUGAUCUGUCGCUGGAAAUCCCCCUCCCCUCCACGGAGAGGAGGGUCUCCCCGGCUGGCUGGAGCUCUUGCCUUUUUUUUUUUUUCCACCCUCUCUUUACAUGCCUGACUCUGGUUCACGAUCUCUAGUAGGAAGGCUCAACGGAGAGGCGGCGGGAGGAAGGAAGCUAAGGCAUCCUUAAAAAGAACAAUAAUCUUCAGAGAUCUUCACCCCCUUCCCCAUCGCGGGUCCCCAUUCCCCUGCCGCCGCCGGCGGCGCCCAGACCAGAGAGGGCUGGGAUAGAAAAGGAAAAAAAAUCGAGCCGGGCUCAGCUCGCCGCGCGGAAGGAGCCGGGAAGGCGAGCGGCUCCAGCCGGGGGAGUUGUCGCUCGCUCGGGCUGCCCGCGGCGCGGCGGCCGGCGGGGGCGCAGGGCGGUGGGUGCUUGGUGGGUGUGUGUCUGUGGCGGAGCCGGGGAGAGGCUGGGCGCGGGAGGCGAGGCGGGGCGCUCGGGGGCGCCAGCUCGGGCGCGCACACCCGCCCGCGGCCACCCCGCCUCGCGCUCCGCCUCCUCCCGCGCUCCGCGCGCCCGCGGACUGGAGCGGCGGCCGUCGCCGCCGCCGCCUUCUCCUCCUCUUCCUGGGCGCCCGCAGCUCUCGAGAGAACUGUGCCAAGUUCCUCCUUGGAGAGGCAGCCAGAUGGACACCCAGAACUUUCCGUAUCUUCGUGUCGAGGAUGAAAAUCUGGUUAAAACAAAUGUAGACGUUGACAAGCACAAUCUACAAAAAGGAGAGAAAAGGAAAAGAAAUAACCUAUUGGUGGUCCUCAAAGGGAUGGAGUAACAUCAAGAAGGGCUUCCCAGAUGGCUCAGUGGUAAAGAAUCUACUUGCUAAUGCACGAAAUGCAGGUUUGAUACCUGGGUCAGGAAGAUCCCCAGAGAAGAAAAUGGCAACCCAGUCCAGUAUUCUUGCCUUGGAAAUCUCACGGACAGAGGAACCUGCCGAGCUACAGUCCCGAGGGUCGCAAAAGAAUGGCACACGACUUAGUGACUAAACAACAACAACAACAAUAUCAGGAAAAGGUAAUUCCACAUUCAAAAAUUUGAGAGGUCCAGCAUACGCAUUUUUCUAGAGUUAUCAUAUUCAUUAGCACCCUAAAGGCCCUGAAAAAUUCUGCCAUUAAGAAACAUUUUACUCUGAUUAAUCUGGUGUGGAACACUCUUUCUCUUUUUCUUAAUUAACAAAAUGUUAAUGUUAUACUCAAGACUAUUUGGGAAGAGUGAUUCUGUUCUAAUCACUAAAUGCAAUAGAAUAUUUAGUGAGCUAGUUCAACUUCUCCCAGCUGGUUGAUAGCAGAGCUGGGGCUAAAAUCAAGUCUCUUAACUUUUAUUCCAAUGUUUUUCUUUCCACUGUAACAGGCAGCAAUUGUCGCUUAAUGAUAAUUAUGGGUGACAACAGUUGGAAUGCCUCUGCUGCUAAGGGAAGGCGAUUAAAGAGAAAAAAAGCAUCAUCAACACUUUAUGGAAAACUUUUUAAAGUGAUUAUUCAUAUUGUAUGUAAAAAAUCUAGGAAAAAAAGUGUUUUCAUUAGUAAUUCACUAUUAAUUAAAAUGCAUGUCAUUCGAAGUAGUGUCAAUUGAUGGUGUAUUAGAAAACUCUUUGCUAUCUGGUGCAUUGUGCCUGUUUAUAUCUCCUUAGUGGAAUUUUAAUAAAUCAUCAUAAGGGUGACUUUAAUGGCUUAUU
rnacentral:lncRNA from 1 species